rnacentral:rRNA from 1 species
ACAACAGUUGGAAACGACUGCUAAUACCGCAUAAGCCCACGGCUCGGCAUCGAGCAGAGGGAAAAGGAGCAAUCCGCUUUGAGAUGGCCUCGCGUCCGAUUAGCUAGUUGGUGAGGUAACGGCCCACCAAGGCGACGAUCGGUAGCCGGACUGAGAGGUUGAACGGCCACAUUGGGACUGAGACACGGCCCAGACUCCUACGGGAGGCAGCAGUGGGGAAUAUUGCACAAUGGGGGAAACCCUGAUGCAGCGACGCCGCGUGGAGGAAGAAGGUCUUCGGAUUGUAAACUCCUGUUGUUGAGGAAGAUAAUGACGGUACUCAACAAGGAAGUGACGGCUAACUACGUGCCAGCAGCCGCGGUAAAACGUAGGUCACAAGCGUUGUCCGGAAUUACUGGGUGUAAAGGGAGCGCAGGCGGGAGAACAAGUUGGAAGUGAAAUCCAUGGGCCCAACCCAUGAACUGCUUUCAAAACUGUUUUUCUUGAGUAGUGCAGAGGUAGGCGGAAUUCCCGGUGUAGCGGUGGAAUGCGUAGAUAUCGGGAGGAACACCAGUGGCGAAGGCGGCCUGCUGGGCACCAACUGACGCUGAGGCUCGAAAGUGUGGGUAGCAAACAGGAUUAGAUACCCUGGUAGUCCACACCGUAAAC